UUCGCAGCUCCAGGGUCAGCCUGGAUACCCCCCUGAUGAGGGGUCCCCGUCCUGAUCUUCACAGGCUCCAAGAUGGGUUGUUUGUGGGAUUACUACAUGCUGGGUACUUUCUGGUGGCGGGCCCUGUGCUGAGUCCAAAGAUGGCAUCCAGAGAGGAAUAAGGAGCAGCCCUGACCUCAAGAAACUCAACACCUUGCCCAGAAGCCAGGCAAGGAUGGUGACUGGCCAGCAUGCUGCGG
rnacentral:lncRNA from 1 species